rnacentral:sRNA from 1 species
GUUGGGCGUGGUGGCUCAUGCCUGUAAUUCCAGCACCUUGGGAGGCUGAGGCAGGAGAAUCACAAGUUCAAAGUUAGCCUCAGUAACUUAGUGAGACCCUAAGCAACUCAGCAAGACCCUGCCUCUA